rnacentral:rRNA from 1 species
GACAGAGGAUGCAAGCGUUAUCCGGAUUUAUUGGGCGUAAAGAGCGUGUAGGCGGCUUUACAGGUCCGUUGUGAAAACUCGAGGCUCAACCUCGAGACGCCGGUGGAAACCGUAAAGCUAGAGUCCGGAAGAGGAGAGUGGAAUUCCUGGUGUAGCGGUGAAAUGCGCAGAUAUCAGGAGGAACACCCGUGGCGAAAGCGGCUCUCUGGGACGGUACUGACGCUGAGACGCGAAAGCGUGGGGAGCAAACAGG